UCUUGUCUUUUGAGUCAAACUGUGUAAAACAGAACAAACCUACAGUUUGCUUCCUCUAGCAGAUUUGUACUUCCGCUGUCUGCACAGACGCUGACAAAAACAUGCACUUCAGCAGAACUGCCGACCACACUGUCGCCCCACCGUCAUGAGCCUAACCUUUGCCGAACCGCAGAGCACUUCCUGGUUGAAUCUUCACUGUCGUUCUCACAGGGGAAUCUUUCAAAUCUCACCACAUUGCACACUCUGCUCCUCCCAGAGACACGCUAUAGUCUCACACUCCUUACCCUCAAAGCCCCGGUGACGAGCCGCCGGGCAUGAGAAGCUCCUCUCCCACGCUCUCCUCUCCACUUGGGGCCAAUGAGACUCAAUCCUCUGCACCGGGUUUGGAUUUCAGCGGGUGCUCCUCUGCCCAAAGAGAUUCGCCUGACUUCUUUCCUCCUGAGGCGUUGGUCCGACGUAUCUUCAGCACCAGCAGGGAUAUCACCAACAGGGAGCAUAUGCCAAGCACUACAAGAAUCCCUAUCCAGGUAGCCGACUUGCAUUGUUGCUCGAACUCAACUUCUCCUACAAAGAAGGCAAAGAUAUGUAUCACCUGCAUCCAACCACACGUGUACGCAAUUUCACAUCGAGUCGAGUGGUGCUCACCUUCUGUAAAGACAUUAACUGUCAAGUGUCCAGACGUUUCCACCGCGACCUUCCUCCAUCCACGAGACAGAGAGGGCAGCCACUCCUCUACCUCGCAGAAAUACAGGCCGCUGUUUUCAGGAGCUGGCUUCGAGACCGUAAGGCUGAACUGGUUCAGUGCAGGGUGGCCAAAUCUUAGCUGAUGACCCUCAACUAACAUGUCUUGUAGGGUAGCGUUUCGAUAAGCGACGAAUAUGGGCCGUUUCUGAAUUCCUGUUUCCUUCUGCCAAAACCAUGUGACCUGGAACUCCGAUUCACCGCUGGGCUGGUUAGUGACGUGGCAGGGGAUGGUGAAGUCCCCGGAUCGGCUCACAUUUAGCUCCCGCUCAUCCUUUACAACGGACAGGUUUUUUUCUAUAAAAAAAAAAGCACACAGGUAAAAAGACAUAUUUCGUUCAGCUCAAGUGAAACAAGAUGAUUGGUUUCAGUGGGACCUUAAGUUAAAUCCCAUAGCACACAGCCAAAGGAGACUUAAUGGGAAAUAGACAAAGAGGAGUGAAGAUGGUCUACAGAAAGCCGAAAGAGAAAUCUAUAUCUGUAAUAGUAGAUUUAGGGAACCAUCAACAACACCACUAUGGCAAAACAAAAGCCAGCACCAUUAGAGAAUAGUUAUUUUGCAAAGAAUAUAUGAGAUUAUGCAGCACAAGCCAAGUCAAAUUGAUAUUAAAGACCAUACACUCCAAUAAUAUUUUUUAUUAUCAUUGUAAUUUCUUGAAAGUAAUAGUGUAGUACCUAGAGAAAUUCUCUUACUUGCAGUUUUAUCAAGUGUUUGAUGAAAAAAAUUAUAUUUCUCUCAUCAAUGUUUAGUUUAUUGUGAAGAUGGCUUGAGCAGCCUACGUUAGAUAAUUCACUGCAUAUAAAGAUGGAGGACCUGUCUCCACUUCCUGAUCAACUCUUCCUUUAAACACCCAUGCAAACACACAACCAAACACACACAGCUACACAUAGAUUUCUCUAUAAAAAGUCAUCGUACCAGCAACAUUCACUGUCAGCGAGAAAGGACCAGCGCUCUCUGAGGCCUUCUGCUGCCAGUGACCUUCACGAUCCAGCUGGUAUUGCUCCACCUGGCACUGGAACGUCCCACUAUCCCCCUCAUGGGCCGUCUGAAUUCUGAGGUGGAAGAUGCUCUGUGUGGGUCGGGCGAGACGAAGCCGCCCCUGCAGAUCUCUGAGCGCCCCGCUCUCAGGGUACCGCAGCAAACCCAUGUGAUCGAGCUCUACUAAGGAGACGUUUGUCAUGGGGGAACUGUGUCCAGUGUAGAUCCAGGCCACUUUGUAAAAGACAGAAGGACUGAAUGCACCGGAGAGGAUGUUACACUUGAGUUCCACCUCGUCUCCCUCUUCUGCAAUCAACCGCUGCUGCCCAACCACUAACCGAAGAUUGUUGGCUGGAAAACCAGAGAGACGUCAAUAUUUUGUUAAGUUAUUCCUUUUUUUUAUGGUAUGAAUUAAAUGUGGCUGAUUAUGUAUAUAGUUAUAGAAGUGGAUAAACAAACUUACGAGGCUCAAUAAGAUUUAGCUCAGUGAUUCGGGACUUUGGCGGGAGCUGAUACCAGCUUCCACGAGGUUCUUGUAGCCACUCCGUCACCUCGCAUACGUACGAGCCAUCGUCCGAGAUCCGAGCUUGCCGAAUAGUCAACUCAAAACUUCGACCCUCGCUGCGCCUCAUGCUGAUUCGUUGUCUGUCGCUCGGCUCCAACUGGUUCCCAAAUGUUACGAGGGCUACCCGGUCCCAGGUUAGGAUGGUCUUAUUUUUUCCCUGUUGCUGGUGCAGCCAGGUAACGGCGUAUUGAGAGGAUGCAAAGGGCUCUGAGAUAACUGAGCACUUUAUUUCUAUGUCACUGUUGAUAUUUCUUGUCAAAGUUGGAGGGGAGGUCAGACUGAGUUUGCUCUCUAGAAAAGGGAAACAAAAGUGAAGUCAUAUCGGGUGAGAAACAAUGACAGAUAGAAUACACGGAGCAGCUUUCAUCGAAAAGAUGGCAAGUAGCCGUAUGAAUCUCAGCGCUACCUGGGUACUGCACCAUCACAGCCACUUGGUUGGAUAGACGUAGGUUCUUGUCAACAUUUUGGAUGAAGGCAGACACCUUACACUGGUACCUCCCUGCCUCUCUGGGGCUGGCACCAUUGAUAAGCAGUGAGUGAGUGACCCCAUUGGGUUUGUUCUCUACUCCCAACUGGUAGACGUGCUGGUCUCCAGACCACCUGAUAUCACCAUUCCAGUUCAGUUCAAGGAUUUUUUGAAUGGUUGAGUCGUCGUGCCGCAGAAUCCAUAUCAAAGUUGUUGGCACACGUGGCCCUUGGACCCGGCACAUCAACUCCACAUUUUCUCCAACAGUCACACUAGUUUUGCGACUGAUCAGUUUCACAGAUGACUCUGUAAUCGAGUGAGAAACAAGAACUUGGUGAUCUCACAAUCCUCAUGCAUCCAUGAUGGUUCCAAGUACAAAGGACUAGAGUAAAAAACAUUCAUAAAGUAGUCCACCUCUUCUCUAACUUAUAUUUGUGGUCUUCUACACAAUUUCUCAAAAUCCCCACCCUAUUUAAAACAAGAAAUGGUCAAGAUGCCUGUUGUCAUCCAGAUAUAUUAACAGAAAUGACUCAUUCAAAUAUAUCGUCUUUGCAGUCUUAACACUUUUGAGAAAAUAGGUUUUUCCUCUUAGAAUGCAACGACAUGCAGUGGGGGGUACUUCAAAGUCUAUACUUUUAGACAUUAUCCACAGACACAUACUAUCAGGAGUUUAAAGCCCUGGAUGUAAAUAGUAAUAGUCAUUGCACCCUCCAACACAAAGAAUAUUGAACUGUACGAUUUUUACUCAUGCUCAGGCUUUUAAGUGAAAAUUAAUUUGUGCAAAUAAUAGGUUUUCCUCUUUUUAGAAGCAAGAUCAUGCAAAUAUCAUGAAAUAUUUGAUUUACCGCUUAAUUCAGCAAAUUUUCAGUAUGUGAGUUUCCCACAGAUGUAUCAAGAACGUGACAAGGACACGAGAUUUAAAAAAAGACUAAUCAACAACUCAAUGAUUGAAACCGACAUUGUCGGACAGAUACACAUCUUACCUGUGGGCCUAACUGUCACAGUGCUAGUUGUUGACUGGCUGUGGAUCUUGCUGUUUGUUUUCCAUUCAGACACAGAGCACCGGUAGAUGGCUGAAUCAGAGGGCGUGACCUCAUCCAGCUCUAAAGUGAAGGUGUUGGUCGCUGGGCGCGCUGCCCUCACUCCGCGACCCGCUGACUCCCCCUCUAUCUCUGUGACACCCUCCUGACUUAGACUGAUGAUGUUUUCAAACGUCGACGUGGACUGACGUUCCCAUGUGACAGAGAGUUGACCUUCAACCCCGUCCACUUUACAGGUUCCAUCGUAUUUAUGUUGAACUGGGUUGACCACAACGCACUCAAAGUCCCCUUCAUCACCUUUCUGCAGGCUCUGGAUCUCAAAGAGGACGGAGUUCGGAGACACAUGUUUCAGA